AACGAACGCUGGCGGCAGGCUUAACACAUGCAAGUCGAACGCACCUUUCGGGGUGAGUGGCAGACGGGUGAGUAACGCGUGGGAAUCUACCCUUCUCUUCGGGAUAGCUCCGGGAAACUGGAAUUAAUACCGUAUACGUCCUGCGGGAGAAAGAUUUAUCGGGUAAGGAUGCGCCCGCGUUUGAUUAGCUAGUUGGUGGGGUAAAGGCCUACCAAGGCGACGAUCCAUAGCUGGUCUAAGAGGAUGAUCAGCCACAUUGGGACUGAGACACGGCCCAAACUCCUACGGGAGGCAGCAGUGGGGAAUAUUGGACAAUGGGCGCAAGCCUGAUCCAGCCAUGCCGCGUGAGUGAUGAAGGCCCUAGGGUUGUAAAGCUCUUUCAGUGGGGACGAUAAUGACGGUACCCACAGAAGAAGCCCCGGCUAACUUCGUG
rnacentral:rRNA from 1 species